rnacentral:rRNA from 1 species
GCCUGCCUCAAGAUGAGAUUUCCCAAUUCGUAAGACCCCUGGAAGAACACCAGGUUGAUAGGCUCGGGGUGGAAGCGCGGCAACGUGUGCAGCUGACGAGUACUAAUCGGUCGAGGGCUUAUCCUAAA